rnacentral:lncRNA from 1 species
AUGCUUUGCCGAAACUUAUUAGAUGUUUUAGGUAAUGAGGCCCGCAUUUCACUCUUGGGCCGACUUCGGCCAGACGCAGGGGCGGAGCCAGAGGGGUGGCUUGGGGUGGCCCACGCCACCCCUGAGAUUCGAUUGGCCACCCCUUUAAAUCAGCGCGGGAGCUUGGACAGUCAGACACCAGAACUCAGAAAUAUUCAGACAAGGGUGGUGGAGACACUUCAGAUCCUUAUAAGGGUCCAUCAUCAUCAUCUUGUCUCACUGGUUGUCCACGUGCAGCUACAAACCCAACCCCUGGACCUCAUGACAUCUCCCAAUCAAGGGCAGCAGAUCCAACUCAACCUGUGCUGA